UUCAUCGUGUCCUCUGACAUGCUUUGUUUCUUUGGUUAAACAGUUUAUUUUUGUCGUUUCCAUCAAUGUCAAUCAUGGAGGUGAAUCAGAUUUCAAAAGACACGUAGGCUAGUUUGAAUCUUGGGGAUGCGAAUGAGGAGGAGCUUGUUCUUGCUGAAGAAGAGGUUGGAGAGGAGGUAGAUGACGCAUCUCUAUGUGUUGUUGGUCGUUUCCUAAUUGAGCGGCCGGUGAAUUUUACUGCCAUGAAACAUACUCUUGCUACUCUUAUGAAACCCGUUAUGGGGAUGUCAGUGGAGGAACUUAAUGCAUGGUGGUAUUUACAUGUUUCAAUUCUAUCAUGUUGUUGACAUGAAUAGAAUCCUUGAUAUGAGCCCCUGGACUUUCAAUAAUCAAGCCUUGCUUAUGGAGAAGUUGGGAGACUUCCAACAUCCUUUUGAUGUUCUGUUAAACCAUAUGUAUAUGUGGGUGAAGGUGUUUGGAUUAAAGUUUGGUUUUAAGUAUGAUAAAGUGGUGCACAGAUUGGGAGAUAUGCUUGGUACUUUUGUAGAAGCUGACCCUGAUAAUUAUGAGAAGUGGGAAUGCGAGUGAAGUUUGACAUCAGAAGACCGAUCAAAGAUUCAAUCCGUUUGAAAAAGGAGAAAACGAAUGAAUGGAUUACUGUUAAUUUUUUCUAUGAGUGAAUUCCAACUUUCUGCUUCUUAUGCAAGAUUAUUGGGCAUGGUGAAAAAUUCUGUCCUUUGCUAGUUCAAGCUAAUGGCGUUGCUGUUCCAAGGAAAUAUGGGCCCCAUCUUCAUGAUGGAGGAAGAAGGAGCAACAAUCUCAUUGGUGCGAAGUGGCUUAGAGAUCAACCUUCUUUUGCCGGUGGUUUUUUCGGUGAGGGAUUAGGAGGAGGUGUUGUUCCGCGGGAUGAGGAUGGAAAGUCCAUGAAUCAAGGAGGUGAUCUUCAGAAUCCAGAAGCUGAUCCUCAAAAAGUAGGAGAUGAUAGUGGCGGGAAGGAAGGGAACUCUCAUUCAGAAGAUUUGGGAGAUAAGGUUAGUGAGAAUGGAAAGUCAAUGGAAUGGAGCUGGAUGAGAAUGGGGUUGAUUUUGUUACCAUAAUGGAUACCAAGAGAAGGCGGACUGAGGGAAUUGAAAGCCCAUCGAAUGUGGAUUUGAGUGACACUACAAGCAGACAUCCCAUUGCUUCAAAAAACAGGAAGAAGGCGGGUUCUGGAGCCCAGAGCCGCUGAUCAAGAUGAGUUGCAUUAAUUGGAACUGCUAUGAUCUUGGCAAUCCACGUGCAGUCCAAACAUUGAAGCAGUUGGUUCGGGAGAAUCGAUUGUGUGGACUGAAGUGGUGGGCUUGCUCUUCUGUGGAAAGGUGUGGAUUCUGUUAGCUUAAUUGAUUCUUCUAAGGGCUUUACUGAUACUGAGGUUCGGUUAGAUGGGUUGGAUCCAUGGAGAUUAACUGGUUUUUAUGGGGAGCUAGACAGAGGCAGGCAUUCUGAGUUCUGAGUCCUGGGCUGUAUUGAAGCACCUUGCAAUGGUUAAUUCCUUGCUGUGGGUGUGUAUGGGGACUUUAAUAUUCUUUCUGCGUCUAAGAAAAUUGGGGGCUUAGAUCAACCGUAUAAUUUGAGACUGCUGGGUUGAUCGGCUUACCUUGUGCAUGUUAUGGCUUCUCUUGGGAUAAUGGAAGGGAUGGAAGAGAUCAUAUAGAAGCUAAAUUAGACAGGUGUUUAAUUUCAUAAAACUGGAAAAUUCAAUUUAAUCAAGCGGUUGCUCGUACACUUAAUUUAUCUACCUCAGACCAUCUUCCUACUUUGCUGCAGCUGCGAGUAUUUGUUCCUUGGCAUCAGGUACAACUUCUUCACUAUGAGAACAACUGGUCUUCGGAACCUGACUGUCGUGAAAUUGUGGAAGAAUACUGGAAUGCUGUUAAUAAUGAAGGUCUUCUUGGGAAACUUAGUUGUUGUGGGAAGGCAUUAGACAGUUGGGGUAAACAUUUUAAGAAUAAGUUAAGGCACAAAUUGAUAAUUAUUGAAGGGUUUUAAACCGACUCAGAGGAAGAAGGACAAGUCAAGAUCAUUGACGUUUUCUGGAAGCGAAGCAGAGUUUGGGUCAGCUAAUGCUUCAACAAGAAACAUAUUGGAAAUAGAGAGCUAAGGACUGGGAGGGGAUCAUUGACGUUUUCUGGAAGCGAACCAGAGUUUGGGUCAGCUAAUGCUUCAACAUGAAACAUAUUGGAAAUAGAGAGCUAAGGCUGACUGGCCGAGAGUUUGGGUCUUGACCAGCUGUGUAAUAGUAAUGGUGAUUGGUGUAAUUGGGACUCGGGCAUUGAUUCAAUUAUUAUUAAUUAUUUUGAUGCUCUUUAUUCUUCACAGGAAUAUGAUUUACAGGAGGUCAUAUCUUGUGUGCCAGAGGUGGUAAUAUCUUGUGUGCCAGAGGUGGUAAUGUACUGUUAAUGGAGGCAUUUUCACCUAAAGAGGUUAAACAAACAAUUUUCAGUAUGGGUGUUGACAAGUCACUAGGAGUUGAAGGGUUGAAUCCUGGUUUUUUCUAGCACUUUUGGAAUCUGAUCCAACGUGAGGUUUCGGAGUUUUGUAUUUCUAGUCUUGCAUGUGGUAGCUUUCCUCAUCAACUUAAUGAAAGGAUAUUGAUACCGAAGAAAGUGAAUCCUGAAGGCAUGAUGGAUCUUCAUCCCAUCCCAUUGCUUUGUGUUAAGUUUUGUACAAAAUUAUGGCGAAGAUGCCGGCUAAUAGGUUGAAACCAUUGCUGUCAUGUAUUAUUUCACCGGAGUAGAGUGCCUUUGUUGCGGGGAAACAUAUACAAGAUAAUUCAGUGAUAGUUUAUGAAGUAUUGCAUUCAAUUAGUGGGAAGAGGCAAGGAAAAACGGGUCUGGCAGCCUUAAAAAUAGACAUAAGCAAGGCUUAUGACAUAUUAGAAUGGUCUUUUUUGAAGGCGGUUAUGAUCAAGAUGGGUUUUGGUGCUCCUUGAAUUCAGAUGAUUUUGCAGUGUGGGUCUACAGUACAUUAUAAGGUAUUGCAUCAAGGGAAAAUGUCCCCUGCUCAGUCCCUAUUUAUUUAUUCUUUGUGCGGAGGUAAUUUCUCGUUUAAUAAGCUUGUGUGGGUUCAGGAGAAAUUCAUAACAGCAUAGUGAAACGAGAUGCUUCGAUGAUAUCUCACUUAUUUUUUUGCUAACGACUGUAGUUGUCCAUUAAAGCUACAAAAAGGGAAGUAGGGACUAUCAAAAUCAAUUUUAAGAACUUAUGAGAGGGCAUCUGGUCAAGCAGUUAACUUUGUUAAAUCCCUUAUCUAUUUCAUUCUUAAUACUCCCUUCACCCUUCAGUUUUUAAAAUAUCUAUUUAUGGGUCGUCGAGAGUACCUGACCAUGAUAAUUUGGGUAAUUACUUGGGUUUGCCUACCGUUAUUGGACGUAAUAAAAAAGAGAUUUUCAAGUUUGUUGGAAAAGAAUGCAUUCAUGGAAGCAUCGAUUUUUUUUUU